UUCUUUAUGAUUUAAUGUAAAGUAAUCCCUGCUCAAUGAUAUAUUAAAUAGCUGCAGAUAUCUGUACUAAGGUAGCAUAAUCAAUUGUCUUAUUAAUUGUGGACUAGGAUGAAGGGGAUAAUUAUUAAAAAUUUUAUUUUAUUUUGUUAUUGAAUUUAGAUUUGCAGUAAGAAUACUGUAAUUUUGCUUAGGGACAAGAAGACCCUAUAAAGCUUGAAUAUUGUUUAUAUUUUUAAAUUAUAAUAGUAUUUUAAUUGGGGCAAUUUUUUAACAAAUAUAAAAUUUAAAGGAAAACUAAAAUAUAAGAUGAGCCAUUAUUAAUGAAAUAUGAAAAAGUUACUUUAGGGAUAACAGCAUAAUUUUUAUUAAGAAGAGCUUAUUUAUAAUAUUGAUUAUGACCUCGAUGUUGGAUUAAUUAAAUUUUUUGGUGAAGGAGCUAAGAAAAUAUGACUGUUCGUCGUUUAAAAAAUUACA
rnacentral:rRNA from 1 species